rnacentral:lncRNA from 1 species
AAGAUACUGUAGGCUUGGUAACUGAAAAAUUUUCAUUGGGAAUUCACCGUGCAAUCCACAUUCUCCGAGAAAGAGAGAUGUCAGUGAAGAUAAACUUGCCAACUCAUAAGGUAUUGUUGAAGAAAUGUUCACCUGACUUAGAUGAAGCUUCUUUAAGUGAGUUAAGUUCUGAACCAGAUUUCUCAAGCCAGGCUUUUGGAGCUGCAACUUUGGGUUUGCCGAGAGAUCAAGGAAAACCAAUUUGGACAGUGCUAAGAGUUCCGAUGGGAUUUGGCCAGAGAAUCCAGAAAAAGAAAGAUCGAGACUCCUAAGCCUUGAAAGCUGACCAACACCAAAUGGGAUCUCAGAGUAAUUGAAAUCAUUAUCAGAGAGGUCAAGCCUCUGGAGAUGAACAAGACUGAAGAGGGUGCUGCUGGAGUUGAUAGAACCAUAGAGACAACUGCUGGCAAGGUGAAGGCCGAUCACAUGACCAGUCUCCCUAUCACACUCAACACCAUCCCAAGAGCAGCAAUCGCUUCCUUCUCUUUCUCCUUCUCCAUGGGAUUUCCACAUUGCAACUUUUGGAUAAGCAGAAGGAUUACCAGAGGCAUGCUCAUCAAUCAAAAAGCUUUGCUUGAACUGAAGUAAGGCAGAGCCCUCACUAUCAUGGCAAAGUGGUCGAUGCAUGGAUGAGGAAGAGUUAGUAACCAUUAGAUAAAAAGAUGAGAGGAAAAGGAGAAAGCGCACAAACAUGAAGACAUACAAAGCUGAGCCCAUAUUUUCUGUGGAUGAUAAGAAUCAAAUGGGAGUGAUGAGGGUUCACAGGCAGGAUCCAUACUCUUAUAUAGUAAUGAUGACUAAUGUGCAUUGACAGCAACCCAGUAGGCCAGUCUGCCCAUAAAUUUUAAACUGUUUCAGAACAUGCCCCUCCUUGAGUUCCUGUUACUAAUAAAAAUCUCACUCACAAGUCAAGUUGUCUCCCUAGGCUUAGGGGUGCCAUUAAGUUAAAUCUCUAUUUAUUAUAUGACUUGCAUUGACUUAAGCUGAUGAACCGCCUCUCUCUUCGAUUGGUGACUUGAUAAAAGCUCUGGUGGAGCCCAAAUUCCACAAGGGAUGAGGCCGGAAUAAAGCUAGUUAACCACAACAAUAGUAAAACAGCCUCUAGGGACAUGUACUGCUGCUUAACUUCCCAUUAAAUAGCUUAACUCAAAUGCAAGGCAACUGUCAUUUUGCCUUUUUCCUUUUUCCAUAUGAAUAAGUGGAAGAAUCUAAUACAUGCAAGCUAGUGAUAAUACUUCUAACCAUAUAAAUUACCGAGUUUAUGCUAAUGCACCCAACUUGAUAAAAGGAAGAAAGAAUAAUAAAAGUGAUGAGACUAACACCUUCAGUUUGCAGCAUUAUUGUUUAACUACUCUAAUGUUGCAAGGUCUAUAAUAUUGAAAAAAGAAGGGCCCAUAUGGUAUGAUUUAGAAUUUUUCAACCCAUUUCAGAGAUUAGGUUCCCUGAAAAUCAUGAAAGCGUGUCCUUAUCACAUUUUGUAGUUUUUGUUCUAGGCCUAGAAAUCUUCAAGAAAAUAUGACAAAUGGGGUUGUUUUAAAUGCAGUUGAGGUUGAAGGGUGAGUGAGAUUGAUUUGGUCUAUCUCUUUAUUUUUAGCCUUGCUUGGAGGGUUUCUAUUGAUCUCUUCUUUCUUUUACUUUUCAUGGCCUGCCUUUUUAGGUGAAGAAUAAAGUAGACCAAUUAAAGCUGCAUUGAGGCCCAGUUUUCUAGCUACCACAAUGUCCUUUUUUAUAUUGUGGUUUUUUCCAAGCCCAAGUCAGUCAAGAGAAAGACAACCCCACUUAAGGGUUCUUACUAAUCUAACCUUUAAUGCAUGACUCUACAUGUAACAUUCUUACUUUUAAUUAGUUUGUAAAGAAAAAUAUUAUAUUUCAAUAUUAAAUAUUUAUGUAAGAUAAAAAUAAAUAUUACAUCCCAAUAGUUUAUAAUUUAGAAAAAAAAAUAUUUAUACUUUAGUAAGUAAUUUAUAUUUUUAAUAAUAUUUGUGAUUAAAAUAUUUAAAAUUUAUAAAUAAAAAAUAUUAGAUAGCGUUAUUAAGUAUAUAAUAAUUGUAUAUAUUAGUGUUAUUUUAUGAUAUAUAUUAUAUGUUUUUUUAGUUUUUUUAACUACAAAAUAAUUUGUUUAAUCAUUUUUUUUAAAUGGUAAUAUAAAAUAAAUUUGUGAUCCAAGCACAUAUCUUAUAUCUCAACUUAGCUAUAUAAAAAAUAUGUUGAGUAAUAUAUUUCAUCAUUUAUCAUAUCAUAUCUUUGAUUAAACAUAAAAUAUAAUAAGUGAUAUGAUAAAUUGUCUUAUUCCCUAUCAAAACCAAAUAUAAUAAAACUUGUUUCUUAGAGAAUAUUGACUUAUUAAAGAGCUUUGACUCACCUCCACUAUAGAGUUUUUCUUUUAUAGAUCCCUUAUUUUCGAGGUUUUGCAAUAAUUAACAUCUAUUUAAAACUUAGAAAACAUGUUUUGUGAAAUUAUUUUAUUUCUCCUUACCUAUGCUGCUCAGUGUAUAUAUUCAGACUAUUCUUCCAAGUAAUUACUAUAAUUGUCCCUCUCUUCUUUCAUAGUUUUAGUCCAACUUGAUGGUAUCCCUCCUUUAUAGAAAUUGUGAGUGAGAGACCCGCAAAAGACUUUGGCAAAUAACGUAUGUUUUGUAUCCUUGUCUUAGAGCAGAGAUGUGAAUAAGUCCAUGUGCAACCUGAGUCUGGUUACUUUGUCUCCUAUCCUCUUUGUUCUUUAGCAUAUAUAUAUAUAUAUAUAUAUAUAUAUAUAUAUAUAUAUAUAUAUAUAUAUAUAUAGCUUCCUUUGGAUCUUUCUGUGACUCUCACUUCCCAAACAAAGCGAACAAGUCAACAAAAUUAAUAAUCAAUGUUGUUGUCAACUGUCAAGCCUAACUGCCAAAACAUGAAGAUCCAAAAGCCAUCAUUAAUAAUUAACAAAUGAAGGAAAUAAAAAUGUUGAUGGGUUGGAAUUCAAAUCCCAUACCCUACAUUUGAGUCAAGCUCACGUUUUUCAAAGCUUAGGUGGCAACACAUGAGGAGACCGGCCAAAGACUUCUUCAAAUGGACAGAAGAACCGUGUUUGAAGGUCUAAUGGGGAAAGAGAAAAUCCUGUUUGGAAUCAUUAAUUUAUUCAACAGUUAAUCCAUGAUAUGUCAUGGAUGCUCUCAAGCAUAAUUAUUAUCUUCAAACAUAAGACAUUCAACUGCGUACCAUGUGGAUUCUUCUUCCCUUCGGAUAUGUACCAAACACCAUUAUAGACCUUUAAGUGCCAAUUUUCAACACACGCGGAAGACUUUUGCAGGAGAGCAAAGCAACCACGUUCACAUCCUUGGACAAAUAGAAGAUUCGUCUUUUUGAUAACUUGAAAAUAUUAUAUAUUGUAGCUCACUAAAUUGAUUUGUUACAUGCUCCCAAAUUUUCAGAGUUAGGUGCUUAGAGUCUAAAGCUUCUUUAAUUAUUUCAAAUGAAAGACUUGAAACACCAUAGUACAUCCAACAUAUCAGUCUGCCAUGCUUAAUUUCUUUGGAAUAUGUAUAUUUGUUGUACUCAAAAAAUAGUUUAAAAAUAAAAUAAAAUAAAAUAUUUUGACAAUCAAAAAGUACUUCAAAGGAACUGAAAAGUUAUGUGCAUCUAAGGUUAAAUAUAUAUAUAUAUAUAAAGCAAAGCUUGUGACAUUUGCAUUAACACAAGGCUUAACGUAACUGAAGCAUGGAAUGAAUAUUUAGCACCUUGAACAAGAUCUAGGGAUUUCUACAUUAAUGUAACUAUUGAGUAAGCAUGAUGAUCAUUAGAAGCAUACUCUAUCAAUCAAAAGCCUCUACUUGAACCGAAGCAAGGCAUAAAUGUCACGAUCAUGGCACAAUGGUUGCCGCAUAGAAGAAGAAGAGUUAGCCACCAUUAGAGGAAAAGAUGAGAGUAAAACAUGAAGCAGAUCAACAUGAAGGCUUUCUUUAGUAAUGGCUAAAAUUCAUUUUAGAAUGAAGAAACAUAAAGAAAUCUCAAAUUUGCUUACUUAAUUUGCCAUAAAAAUAUAACAAAAAUCCAUGUGGAACCAUGACUUAUUAUAGACUAGUACUUUGGGUUUGUUAUUUUCUACUACUAAUUUGGCAUAUUUGUUUGCUAAAAAAAUUAUAAUAGUGUAGUUAUGUGCAUGAGAGAAAUAACAUAGUCAAUUUGGACCAAUUUUAGCUUUUGAACCAUUUAAUAUAUGAGUUUCAAAUUAUUUUGAAUGACUAGACUUAUUUAUGAAUCUAAUGGAUUAAGUUUUGCUUAAUUUAGAGUUUAUUUGCCUAAUAAAAUUUUAAAAAUUUACAUUCAUAUGUAAAGAAUAAACUAGCAAAAGCAUUUAAGAUGAGUUUUGAUUUAUGAUUUUUAAAUGUUAAUUGAAUCAGUUUUAAGUUUCAUGAUUUGUUGGUAUUAAUUAGAUCAAUUGUUAAGCUUCAAGUUAAUUAUUUUUAACAAUUAGUCAAUUUCAUGAAUCAAAUCUCCUUUGAUUUGAGAUCAUUUUUGUUUUUUUAAAUAAAAAACUAUUUUUUUUAAAAUGAACGGAAUAAAUAAUAAUAGAUCCAUUUUUCCACACCAAAAGCCCUUGUCAAGCUCAAGCGCCAGAGGUCAAAAGACUUUCUGGAGUUCAUCUUUUCAUGGGAGUUUCCCCAAUAAUUUCACCUCUUUUCCGUCCAAUGUUUAUGACAAUUUGAAGAAAUUGAUAGGCAAGUGUGUGGAACAGAUUUGAUAAUGGCUCAAGAAAAAAAAAAAAAAAAGAUGAAUGAAGUGAUACACCAAAUCAUCUAGCAGGCUUCAUAGAAUUAAAGUACUUUUAGUUCAAGUAGUGAGCUGAUCUAAUUCCCCUUUCAAAUAAUACACCCCAUUAUAAAUCCAUGCUGCUAUAGAAAAAAAAAAUGCCAAGUGACUUGGGGAUAAGGGUGGGGCAACAAUGUUCACAUAUGGAGUUGGAUCUAUGCUGCUAUAGAAAGAAAUGCAACCCCUACACUUGUCACAAAUGUUCCGUAUUUAUUUUUACUUCCAUUCUUCAUAAUAUCUUUGAUAAAAGACAAUUACAUGAAACAUAUCUUAAAAUUAAACUGAAAACAAUAAUUUCUUUGUAAAUAGUAUAAAAGAAAAGAUCAUAUAAUAAAUAUAGAAAAGAAGUAUAAUCCUUUAUUGAGAAAAAAUAAAUCACAUGUGUGAUAUUCAUUCCAAUGAUCGAAUUAGACAAAACAGACAUGGCCAAGAGCCCAAAGCAAAGACCAACUCAGCCAACAGGUAUUCAUUAUGAUUGUUGCAUGCAACCAAAAACUCAAAUUAGAGAAAACAGAAGUAAAAUGGCAAAAUAUUACAUAACAAAGAAGAGCACCUUUUAUUUACUUCUUACAUGGAAAUCACAAUGCUCAAUAUUAAUCCACAUACUAAUACUGCAACAUUAUCCCUUCAACACUUGGAAAAAAAAAACCAAUAACAACAACAGCAAGGAAUUCAAUUUCUUUAUGCUUUAUCACUCUCCCUUCUCUAUUUUCUCCGCCUCUUGCCUAAAGUGUUGGAAAAAACAAUCAUGUUUUUUGUUGUCAAGGUGUGCCCGAUUACCAUUCCAACUACCAGACCACUUCCAUAACCCAUCAAUGCUAUCAUCAUUUCAACUUUGCGGCCAGUACUCUCCAAGUCCCCACCUUGUUUGUAGGUUGAUGUUGGUGUUGUUGGCUUAGAGUUUCCACACUCCUUUGACAAAGGAUUUCCGCACAAUCCUGGAUUUCCCUCGAAUGAGUCAUUCUGAAAUGUAUCAAAUUAUUUCCCUUGUGGUAUAGGUCCCAUGAGACGAUUGUGAGAAACAUUGAAGAACUCAAGGAAUGUCAUUCCCUUUAGCUGCUCAGGGAUCUAUCCUGAGAGAUUUUUUUGGGAUAGGUCCAGUGGCUCAAGCUAUGCUAAGCUCCCAAGAAAAGAUGGGAUGUGACCAGUAAGACUGUUGGACGAAAUGUUGAGCAAAUGAAGUCCCCCGAGUUUCCCAAUGGAUUUUGGGAUCUCUCCUGUAAAUUUGUUGCUUGAGAGAUCAAUUGCUUUAAAACUGUGAGGGAUCUUCGGGUACACCCUUUCCAUGCCUUUGUUGGUCAUUGUCAUCGAUUAAGUGUAAUUUUUGUAUAGCCCAUAUCCUGGGAGAAGAAAUCCCAUCCUUGUAUUUGCUAAAUGCUCUUCAUCGACCUUGCUCAUGGCAACCCAAGUGAUAAAGUAGCCUGCUGGCAAAUUACCUGCAAAAUUAUUGUGUGAGAGGUCAAUAAUACACAACAUGGGGAACUCAAAGUUGGUUCUAGGACUCUCGAUUGCACUAUGAAAUCUGUUAUUCCGCAAAAUGAGAAGUUGCAACUCUGGAAAAGAUCCCAACCAAAAGGGUAAAGUAUCAUUGAUCUGAUUGUUUCCAAGAUUAAGAAUCUCAAGCUCUUUACAAUUGCCCAAUGAUCUUGGUAUCUGCCCCUCCAACUGAUUGUAACUAAAAUCAAUCAUUUCUCCCAUGAAAGUUGUUGCCUCAUAGAUUCAACACCAAUAGAGAAUUUCUGGAGUUGUUCAAACAUUGAGGAAUCAGGCCACUUAAGUUGUUAUUCGACAAAUCAAGGAUGUAAAGAAGAUGCAAGUUGCAAAACAACGAUGGAAUUUUUCCACUUAGUCUGUUGUUACAAACAAAAUAAUUAGCUAUGGAAGAUGGUGGAACUGGAAGGGAACCUUGCAGCCGAUUAUAAAUAAGAUCUAGAACUUUCAGAGUAACCCAUGGAAGGACAAAAAGCCAGUUAAGAAGUUAUGUGAUAGGUCCAUGACCAGAAGAGUUUCUUUACCUCUGUUUCAUAUACAUUUUGGUAUUUGGCCACGAAUUUUGUUGUCAGAAAGUGUUAAAAACUUCAACUCAUCUUGGUUCCUUAGGAAAUUUGGGAAUUCUAUCAAUUUGCAUGAAUCUAAUCCUAAAUACGUAAACCUUGGAAGAGAACCAUUGAGACGGUAGUGAGAAAUGAUAGAUUGUUAGGGGUUAAGUCGAGAGCUCUGAGAUUUUUGAGCUUAACAAGCAUGUUCAGCUCCACUGCCGCUCAACUUGUUUGAACAUGGAUAAAGAAUAUUAAGGUUUAAUAGUUCAAAUAUUGAGCUUGGUAUUGGACCUUCCAAAUUAUUGCACCCAAGACCUAACUGUUUUAACAGAGUCAGGUUCCCAGGGCAUGAUGGAAUUCUACCAUUUAGUUGAUUAUUCUCCAGAUUUAAAUAAUGCAGUGCAGUAGUGCAGUUAGGUUUGAAAGAAAAGGCAAGAUAUCACCAUUUAAAUUGAUCUUGUCAAGGUCCAAAACAGUGAGUUUGGUCAGCUUGCCAAUCCAAGACGAGGUCCCAACACUGAAAUCAUUCCUAGAAAUAUCCAAGAAAUUGAGAUGGAUAAGGUUGGCCAAUGAAGAAGGGAGCUGGCCCUUAAAAGAGUUAUACGAAAGGUCCAGGAGGACAAGCUGGGUAAGGUUGCCAAGUACAGUUGGAACCAUCCCAUUGAAAUUGCAUGAGCAGAUAUAAUCCUAUUGAGGCUGGUAUCUGACCAGAGAAACUUGUCCCAAAGAGAUCCAAAUAUUUGAGGUGACAAGCAUUGGGAAAUUAGGGCAAAUGACCAGUCAGAUAUCUAUUAAACAUCAAAUUAAGGAGUUCUAAGCUUGGCAGCUUCAAAAUCCCCAUGGGGAAUUCACCGUGCAAUCCACAAUUUUCAAGAGAAAGAGAUAUCAAAGGAGAUAAUUUUGCCAAAAUAACAGGUACAGUAGAAGAUAUGUUCGCCUGACUUGGAUUAAGUUUUUUUAAGUGGGUUAAGUUCUGAACCAAAUUUCUCAAGUCAGGCUUUUGAAGCUGCAAAAUUGGGUUGCUCGAGAGAUCAAGGGAAACCAAUUUGGACAGUGCUAAGAUUUUCGAUGGGAUUUGGCCAGAGAAAUGAGAAUUGGAGAGGAUGAGACUUCUAAGCCUUGAAAGCUGACUGACUCCAUGCGGGAUCUCAGAGUAAAUGAAAUCACUAUCAGAGAGCUCAAGGCUCCGGCAAUGCACAAGACUGAAGCGGGUGCUGCUGGAGUUGAUAGAGCCACAGAGACAACUGCUGGCAAGGUGAAGGCCGAUCACAUGACCACUCUCCCUAUCACACUCCACACAAUCCCAUGAGCAGCAAUCACGUCUCUCUCCAUGGGAUUUCCAUAUUGCAACUUUUGGAUAAGCAUAAGAAUCUUCAGAAGCAUAUUCAUCAAUCAAAAAAGCUCUGCUUGAACUGAAGCAAGACAAAUCACUGAUUAUCAUGGCACAGUGGCUUCUGCAUAGAUGAGGAAGAGUUAAUAACAAUUAGAUGAAAUGAUGAGAGUAAAACGAGAAAGCGCAUCAAGAUGAAGAGACACAAAAUUGACCCCAUAAUUCUAAUUCACUCUCUUUACCACUACUCUUGAAUAUACUAGGAAUCAGGUAAUGAGCAAUGCUCUCCGGAAAUGACUAAGGCCUUGUUAUGCCAUAAUAGACCCGUCCUUCAAGUCUUUAUUGAAGUUGGAAGGAAAAUUUCAAAGUCUAAAACAAGCUUUCCAUUUGCGCGUCUCAAAGUCUUUCGUGGAGAUGCGAAUAUGUCUAUUUGCAAUUGAUUUCCACCCAGAUUUAUUGGAUUGAAACACUUCAGAAAGAAAAAAAAAAGUUAGAAACAACAAUAGCACAAUAAUCUAUUGGAUUUUUGUGUUCUCUCAUAAUCUCCUUUCUCUAUUUUCUCUGCUUCUUGGCUUGUCUUGUCUUGUAUUUGGUACAUGCAUUAUCAAGUUUUCCUUUUUUCUUCAAUUCUAAAGAACAUAAAAUUGUUUUCAAUAUCAGUACAUCCCUAACACAUGCACCUAUUCUUAUUUUUGAACACUUCAUUUCAGAAUUUUGUAAUUUUCGAAAUAAAUUUACAGUGAUUUAAGUGACCAAUUAAUCAUAAGAGAGAUAUCUCCCACUUUGUCAAAGGUAAACAAAUUUUAGGAUCUUUAAUAAAUUUGUGUGUUUUCAUCACUUUAUAGGAUAAAGUUAUUAUAUACACUCACAAAGAAUUGUGAUACUUGCAUAACACAAAAUCUCAUGAUUAUGUCUAGAGGUAAUUUUUCUAGGCUUCCAUUAUUUUAGAAAAAUUUAAGCUAUGUUUGGUUUUGAAAAAAUUAAGAGAAAAUGUAAAGGAAAGAAAAUAAUAAGGAAAAAUAAAAAAUAAAUAUAAAAUUAAUAAAUUAUUCUGAUAUACUUCUUCAAACUCGUUUCAUUUAUGUUUACUUUUUUAUGUAACAAUUAAAUAAUUUUAAAAUAUAUAAUAAGGGAUCUAUGCUACUAUAGAAAGAAAUGCAGUGUAACCCCUGCACUUGUCCCAUGCCUUCUUUACUAAUUUUGCCUUCAUUCCUUAUAAUAUCUUUGAUCGAAUGCACUUGCAUGAAACCAUCUUAUGACAGGAUUAAAGACAAUGCCUGCUUUGUAGAGAGUAUGAAAUAAAGAAAAGAUUUGAGAAAGAGAAGAAAUAAAAAUAAAAGAGAAUGGGAAAAAAAAAAAUUGUAUGGAAUUCCAUGGACAAAUAGAAGGUUCAUCAUUUAAUGAACUUAAAAAUAUUCCAUAUUGUAUGUCAUAGAAUUGAUUUGUUAUUUGCCCUUGAUUUUUCAGUUUUGUAGUUAGGUGCUUAGAGAAUAAAGUUUUUGCCAUUAUUUCAAAUCAAAGACUUGCAAUACCGUAGAAAACAAAAGUUCAAAACACCACGACAAAGUAAGAAAAGAAAAAGGAAAGAAGAAAUAUGAAACCCAACAACGGAAGCAAUAUACAUGGAUCAAGAGACCUUUCAAGGAAAUCGUGGUUUGAUAAAUUCAGCCUCUAUGCCCCCUUCUUGCCUUCCUCCUCCAUUUUGGUUGCCUCCUUCCAAAAGUUUUCACAAACCAUUCAUGUUUCCAUGCGGUCAAGCAAUACCCAGUAGAAAUUCCAAUCACUAGUCCGCUUCCAUAUCCCAUUAAUACAAUUUUCCAAUCAAAUCCACUUGAUGAACCUUGUUUAGGGGUUGAUGGAGCUGGUGGUGACGCCUCAGAAUUUCCACAUGCCCUUCACAAAGGACUUCCACACAAUCCCGGGUUCCCAUCAAAGGAAGUAUCUGGAAAUGUUGCAAAUUGUUUUCCUUGUGGUAUAGGCCCUGUGAGAUGAUUAUGAGACACAUUGAAGUAUGCAAGGAAAGUGAGCUGCACUAGCUGCUGAGGUAUCUCUCUUGAUAGCUUGUUCUGAGAAAGGUCCAAGGCCUCCAGCAGGGUCAAGUUUGCUAAGGAUGUGGGGAUAGGGCCUGUAAGAGCAUUAUUGGAAAGAUUAAGUGCUUGAAUUCCCUUGCGAUCCCCAAUGGAUUCCGGAAUCUCUCCAUAGAAUUUGUUGCUUGAAAGAUCAAUGACUGUUAAGAUGUCGGGGGUCUUCUCAUAUUCCCUUCUCAAGCCUUUGUUCACUAUUGUCAUUGAGACAGUGUAAGCACUUUUCCAUGAAUAUUGUGGGCCUUCAAAUUCUACAUCUGCUUGGAUGUAUUUCAAAUGAUCUGCAUCCACAAUUCUCAUGGCAUCCCAAUUUCGGAAGUAUUCUGAAGGCAAAUUACCUGUAAAAUGAUUGUGAGAGAGGUCAAUGAUGUGCAGCUUGGAAAACUCAAAUUUGGUUUCGGGCCUCCCUAUUGCCCCAUGAAAUAGGUUGGAUCGCAGAAUGAGAACCUGCAACCUCGGGAGAGAUCCCAACCAGGAAGGGAAAUUAUCAUUGAUCAUAUUGUUUCCAAGAACAAGCUCCUCAACCAUGAUGCAAUUGGCUAGUGAUCUAAAUAUUUGCCCUUGUAAUUGAUUCCCACUUAAGUCAAUCAUCCGCAAACUGCUUGUGUUGGUGCAUAUUUGAGGAAUGGCACCAUGCAAGUUGUUGCCUCUGAGAUUGAGUACAAACAGUGAAGAGCUAAGGUUGGUCAAGCAUUGAGGAAUCCCGCCACUGAAGUUGUUAUCAGACAAAUCAAGUGACCUAAGAGAAGUCAGGUUGCAGAUCAAUGGUGGAAUUUCUCCUGUAAGUUUAUUUCCAGAGACUGAAUAGAUAUAGGUUGACGGUGGGGGAACUGGGAGUGAUCCUUGCAGCAUGUUAGAUGCAAGGUCUAAAAUGCGCAUCUUCGACCACCUGAGAACAGCUGGGAGUAGGUCAAAGCCUGUAAGAAGGUUUUGACGAAGGGCCAGAAUCUCUAGGGUUUCUUUGCUCAUGUUCCAUAGCCACUUUGGAAUUGGACCAUGAAUUUUGUUAUCACAAGGAAGAGCAACUCCAAUUCAUCUUGGUUCUGCAGGAAAUCAGGAAUUUGGGUUAAGUUGCAUGAAUUCAGUCCUAAAAGCCUAAAUUUAGGGAAGGUUGCAUUGGUACUGGCGUGACUGAGCAAUGAUAACCUAUUGUAGGAUAAUUGGAACUUGGUGAGAUCUUUGAGCUUAGAUAACAUGUGGAGUUCAACUGUUCCAGUCAAGUAAUUGGAAUGUAGAUAAAGAGAUUGAAGAUUUACUAGUUCAAAUAAUGAACUUGGGAUAGGACCUUCUAAUUUGUUUUCCUCAAGAUAUAAUUCAGUCAGUCGGGUGAGGUUCAUGAGCCAAGACGGGAUCUGACCAAUCAAUUGAUUCCUUGAAAGACUCAAAAUAGUUAGUUCACUCAUGUUUACAAGAGAGGAUGGGAUUUCUCCAGUUAAAUUCAACUGGUCGAGAUACAAAUAAGUGAGUUUUGUAUGCUUACCAAGCCAAGCAAGGGUUCCGACAUUGAAAUCAUUCGAUGAAAGGUCUAAGUGAGUUGGGUAAGAUUUGCCAUGAAAGAAGGAAUUUGACCACUAAAAGAGUUAUUUGACAGGUCUAAAUAAGAUAACUGGGAAAGGUGAGCAAGUGGAGAUGGGAACAAUCCUGUGAAAUUGCACUAGCUGAUGUCCAAUUCAGUCAAAGAACCAAGGCUCCCAAUAGAAGCUGGUAACUCACCAUAAAAACUUGUACCAGCAAGAAACAACAUUUUUAAGGGACUGGUUUCCUGAAAUUCAGGUAAAUAACCAAUCAGAUCUGGAUUGUACCUCACACUAAGAUACUGUAGGCUUGGUAACUGAAAAUUUUUCAUUGGGAAUUCACCGUGCAAUCCACAAUUUCUGAGAAAGAGAGAUGUCAGUGAAGAUAAACUUGCCAACUCACGAGGUAUUGUUGAAAAAAUGUUCACCUGACUGAGAUGAAGCUUCUUUAAGUGGGUUAAGUUCUGAACCAGAUUUCUCAAGCCAGGCUUUCGGAGCUGCAACAUUGGGUUUGCCGAAAGAUCAAGGAAAACCAAUUUGGACAGUGC